rnacentral:rRNA from 1 species
GACGAACGCUGGCGGCGUGCCUAAUACAUGCGAGUCGAACGCAUUUUCUUUCACCGUAGCUUGCUACACCGAAAGAAAAUGAGUGGCGAACGGGUGAGUAACACGUGGGCAACCUGCCCAUCAGCGGGGGAUAACACUUGGAAACAGGUGCUAAUACCGCAUAAUUCCAUUUACCGCAUGGUAGAGGGAUGAAAGGCGCUUUUGCGUCACUGAUGGAUGGACCCGCGGUGCAUUAGCUAGUUGGUGGGGUAACGGCCUACCAAGGCUGCGAUGCAUAGCCGACCUGAGAGGGUGAUCGGCCACACUGGGACUGAGACACGGCCCAGACUCCUACGGGAGGCAGCAGUAGGGAAUCUUCGGCAAUGGACGCAAGUCUGACCGAGCAACGCCGCGUGAGUGAAGAAGGUUUUCGGAUCGUAAAACUCUGUUGAUAGAGAAGAACAAGGAUGAGAGUGGAAAGUUCAUCCCUUGACGGUAUCUAACCAGAAAGCCACGGCUAACUACGUG